rnacentral:rRNA from 1 species
UACGUAGGGAGCGAGCGUUGUCCGGAUUUAUUGGGCGUAAAGCGCGUGUAGGCGGCUUUGCAAGUCGGGUGUGAAAGCCCUCAGCUCAACUGAGGAAGUGCGCCCGAAACUGCAGAGCUUGAGUGCCGGAGAGGGUGGCGGAAUUCCCCAAGUAGAGGUGAAAUUCGUAGAUAUGGGGGAGGAACACCGGUGGCGAAGGCGGCCACCUGGACGGUAACUGACGCUGAGACGCGAAAGCGUGGGGAGCAAAC